UCCUCGUUAGUAUGGUGGUGAGUAUCCCUGCCUGUCACGCGGGAGACCAGGGUUCGAUUCCCUGACAGAGAG
rnacentral:tRNA from 1 species